rnacentral:lncRNA from 1 species
AUAUAUGCGCCCAUAGCACUCAAAGGAUUAAAGAAGUUUACUAGUGUGUCAUUCUAUCUGUGCAUAUGUAUUAUUGAAAAUAGUUUUAUAUUACUGAGAAAAAAAAAAUCAUGUUUAUGGGAAUGUUCGAUAUUCCGUAGUGACAAUCGCGACGAUAAAAAUAUACGUUAAGUGCAGACGUCGUUGUCGUAAGAUUCUCAUAGAGAAAGAA